rnacentral:rRNA from 1 species
UACGUAGGGUGCAAGCGUUGUCCGGAAUUAUUGGGCGUAAAAGAGCUCGUAGGCGGUUUUGUUGCGUCGGCUGUGAAAAUCCCCGAGGCUCAACCUCGGGUCUGCAGUCGAUACGAGCAAAACUAGAGUGUUGCAGGGGGAGACUGGAAUUCCUGGUGUAGCGGUGAAAAUGCGCAGAUAUCAGGGAGGGAAACACCCAAUGGCGAAAGGCAGCUCGCUGGGGACGGUACUGACG